rnacentral:rRNA from 1 species
AUGCUCGCCCAUGCCAUCAACUUGUGCCAGACACAGACUCCACAUCAGCUUGUGCCAGACACGGACCACCCUCCUUUGCCACAUAAUAGUCAUCGAGCGCUCUAUGGAAGCAUCCAAUCUCGCUGUUCUACCAACUUCACCGGAACACCGACCACCGGUGCUCCACCUCAGAUAGAUCCGCUUAUGGAUUUAAGUUUUCAUUCACCAACUUCAAAUACUCAAUUACCCGGAGAUGAGGAUCAUUCUGCAGCUCAUGUCCUUAUCAAACGUGCUUCUCCUUUAAACGAUAGCUUGGUCUCCGUGCAUGCUAUCCGAUUAUCCGAAGCAAAACUAAUCCUUUGCACCCCAGCGAUGGAUAAAGACGUGGAGCCGGGUCUGUUUUCCUGGGGACAACCAAUCCUUGAGGAGGCCGAAAGAUUUGAGGGAAGUCGCACACAACGUGUGAUCAUUUCCACCGUCCAAAUGAAUUGUUAUAUUCAAUAA